GACGAACGCUGGCGGCGUGCUUAACACAUGCAAGUCGAACGGAAAGGCCCUGCUUUUGUGGGGUUCUCGAUUGGCGAACGGGUGAGUAACACGUGAGUAACCUGCCCUUGUCUUUGGGAUAACUUCAGGAAACUGGGGCUAAUAUCGGAUAGGAUCUCCUGCUGCAUGUUGUGGGUUGGUAAGUUUCGGCGGUUGGGGAUGGACUCGCGGCUUAUGAGCUUGUUGGUGGGGUAGGUGCUUACCAAGGCUUUGACGGGUAGCCGGCCUGAGAGGGUGACCGGCCACAAUGGGACUGAGAUACGGACCAGACGCCUACGGGCGGCAGCAGGGGGGAGUAUUGCACAAUGGGCGGAAGCCUGAUGCAGAAACGCCGCGUGCGGGAUAACGGCCUUCGGGUUGUAAACCGAUUUGGACUGUGACGAAGCGUGAGUGACGGUAAUGGGUAAAGAAGCACCGGCUAACUACGUG
rnacentral:rRNA from 1 species